rnacentral:rRNA from 1 species
AUUAUCAUAAGUAAGAUCUGCUCCAUGUGUAAUAAAUACCCGCAGAAUUUUAACUGUGCUAAGGUAGCAUAAUCAUUUACCUUUUAAUUAAAGGUUUGUAUGAACGAUCUUACAUUUAAAUUCCUUUUUUAUAAAAUUCUAUUAAACUUAAAUUAAAAAUAAAAAUGUUUUUAUAAAAAAAAAAGACGAUAAGACCCUGUUGAACUUUACUAAUGUUUAGCUGGGGCAGCUAAUUAAAUAUAAUUUUGAUUAAUAAUAAUAACAAACCACCUAAUAAAAUUAUUAUUAACAAGUUACCAUAGGGAUAACAGCGUAAUAUAAUUUCAAAGCUCAUAUUUAAAAUUAAGUUUACGACCUCGAUGUUGAAUUAAAGUCUCUUCAAUCCGCAAUAGUUUGAAAGAAGUCUGU